UUAAAGGCAUUGAUGCGGAAGAGUAAUUAUAUUGUUGAAAUAAAGAGAGGGAAUGCUGGUGGAAAUUUCCCAUGAUUGAUGUAAUGAAGGUAGCCGCGGAGCUUUAGACUGAAAGCUUUAUGCAAGUAGGUUUUAACGGAGUUUCCCACUGUUAAAAGGGAAGUAGUAUCGGCUAAUUUGCCUGUACUAUAUAGAGUGUGUACAUAUGUACAAAAUUAGGUGGUACCACGGAGAUAUAACCCUUCGUCCUUAAA
rnacentral:ncRNA from 1 species